rnacentral:rRNA from 1 species
UACGGGGGGAGCAAGCGUUGUUCGGAUUUACUGGGCGUAAAGGGCGCGUAGGCGGCCUUCUAAGUCGAACGUGAAAUCCCCGGGCUCAACCCGGGAACUGCGUCCGAUACUGGGAGGCUUGAAUCCGGGAGAGGGAUGCGGAAUUCCAGGUGUAGCGGUGAAAUGCGUAGAUAUCUGGAGGAACACCGGUGGCGAAGGCGGCAUCCUGGACCGGCAUUGACGCUGAGGCGCGAAAGCCAGGGGAGCAAACGGG